ACGACCGGCGCACGGGUGCGUAACGCGUAUAGAACCUACCUUUUACAGAGGGAUAGCCUUUAGAAAUGAAGAUUAAUACCUCAUAGUAUUGCGAUUUGGCAUCAAAUUGUAAUUAAAGAUUUAUCGGUAAAAGAUGGCUAUGCGUCCUAUUAGCUAGAUGGUAAGGUAACGGCUUACCAUGGCAACGAUAGGUAGGGGCCCUGAGAGGGGGAUCCCCCACACUGGUACUGAGACACGGACCAGACUCCUACGGGAGGCAGCAGUGAGGAAUAUUGGUCAAUGGAGGAAACUCUGAACCAGCCAUGCCGCGUGAAGGAUGACGGCCCUAUGGGUUGUAAACUUCUUUUAUAGAGGAAGAAACUUGUCUACGUGUAGACAACUGACGGUACUCUACGAAUAAGGAUCGGCUAACUCCGUGCCAGCAGCCGCGGUAAUACGGAG
rnacentral:rRNA from 1 species